rnacentral:lncRNA from 1 species
GAGAAAUGCAAUCAUAACUGCUAUCAGUGAUGAAAAGCGAUCAUUUUUAUAAUUACUCAGUAAUAAACUUUAAUAUGCUUUCUCAUGGAAGAAUAACAAUGGAGUCAUUGACUGCUGUUGGUCUCUGAACUGGUGCUCAGGAAACUGCACUAAAUGGUACCUAAUGACCUUAGGGAGUUAAUGAUCCCCGAAGUUCUGAAGAAUCAGAUAUUGGAUCUCACGAGGUUUCCUCAAACUAUUUUAGGAAUGCAAGAACAAAAUGUUUGGCCAGCUCUCUUUUGUUGAUUUGCCCCAGCGAGUGGGGUUGGUAAUAAUUGCACCUUACAAUUCCAACUGGAAGAUGGGUCUUUGUGAUUAUGGAGACUUGUGUGACCAAAUGUAUUCUACACCAAGGAUCAUGAAUAUCCGAAGGCAUGUUCACGUGAUUAAGUACACUUUGAGCUCUGGCUGGAAAGUAGGGUGAUGACAGGACAUGAGAAGAAAUAAGUCAC